rnacentral:rRNA from 1 species
GACUCUCGACAACGGAUAUCUUGGCUCUCGCAUCGAUGAAGAACGUAGCGAAAUGCGAUACUUGGUGUGAAUUGCAGAAUCCCGUGAACCAUCGAGUCUUUGAACGCAAGUUGCGCCUGAAGCCUUUAGGUGGAAGGCAUGUCUGCUUGGGCGUCAUAUAUUGUU